GGGGAGAUACUCAAGAGGUCGAAGAGGCGGCCCUGCUAAGGCUGUAGGUCGGGCAACCGGCGCGAGGGUUCAAAUCCCUCUCUUCCCGCCA
rnacentral:tRNA from 2 species